UACGGGGGGGGCAAGCGUUGUUCGGAAUUACUGGGCGUAAAGGGCUCGUAGGUGGCCAACUAAGUCAGACGUGAAAUCCCUCGGCUUAACCGGGGAACUGCGUCUGAUACUGGAUGGCUUGAGUUUGGGAGAGGGAUGCGGAAUUCCAGGUGUAGCGGUGAAAUGCGUAGAUAUCUGGAGGAACACCGGUGGCGAAGGCGGCAUCCUGGACCAUCACUGACGCUGAUGAACGCAAGCCAGGGGAGCAAACGGG
rnacentral:rRNA from 1 species